AUGAGCCCACUCCAUGUUCGUUGAAGAAUUGGAUACACUGUGAAGACAGGUCCAGAGAGAAACGCCGUUUGUUCGGAGCCACCUGAGAUCCAGCGAUGCUUCAUGAUCUUUGGUAGGUCUGUGUGCUUCAGGAAGUUCGCUGAAGCAUUUGCAUCCAGAUCGCGGGACAUAAGACUUGUGCUUGCGGAUGAACCUUUACAUUUUUUUACCUUGUGUAAUAUAUAUGCAAGGUUGUUAUGAAAUCAUAAUCGCUGUAAAUUGCAACAUAAAGAAUGUCGGUUGUGAAAUUCUUGUUGAUAUCCCUAUAAAUGUAGUGCACCAAGGGCGUCAUGAGUCAUCAGUUCGUCGCUUGACUUGUGAGUACUCAAUCUUCACACUCAUAAUCUCACCCUUAGUUUAUCUGAUACAACUUUGCUGGGGUAAUUUCUGAUAUCAGAAAACUUUCAGUUAUUUGCUCCACUCUUCAAAAAAUACAUUUUCUCAAAAUUCCAUUUCUACUGUAUUGUUUAGACUAAUUGUUCUAAGAUAUUUGUUAAGUUUGUUUUUAAAAUACUAAAUUUAUUCUCAGAAUUUAGUAGAUACUCCAUCCCAUAAUACAAGGGAUUUUGGAUGGAUGUGACACAUCCUAAUAUAAUGAAUCUGAACAGGUCGUCUGUUCAGAUUUAUUGUACUAGGAUGUGUUAUAUCCACUCAAAAUUCCUUAUAUCAUGGGACGGAGGGAUUAAUCCUUAACAAUAGUGAGCUCAAUAUUCUAAGCACAUAAGCUGUCCUGCAAGCUAAACAUUGGGCUGCAUAUGAGGCCCACAUUCUUGGGCUGGAGCCAGCUAUGCAUGCCUCUCUCAGGGCCUUGCUAGAGUCGGCCCACGGUUUUCUGCAGGAAACCAAACAACGCGUCGUCUUCUUCCUGCGGGAAACUAGGCGCCCCCAGUGUGAGUCGAGUCGGUGCUGUGCUGGAGUGCUGGCAACGCAGGCAUGGCGGGGGCCAAAACGAAACCGGCGGCGUUCCCGCGAUCCCUGCGGCGAGGCCUUGCCUUUCCUCGCUUACGGCGUGCCGACCUUGUGUGCGCACUGCGCGGCGGCGCGGGCGCACGACGCUGGCACGACAACCCCACCUCCACUACUCCAUUUACUUUGCUACUCCCUUCUCCUUCCCCGAGUCCAUCGCCGGAGUAGUAGUGCCGCAGAAGGAUCCCUCGCCGACGAGGGCGCGGUAGCAGCAGCACAAGCAAUUCGCGCAGGAGAGAAGUGGCCGCAGGCCGCAGCGAUGGGCGCGCCGGUUUGUGGCGCACUCGUGUGCUUCUUCGUUCUCCUCGUUGCCCGUGCGGCCGCGGAGACGGCGCCGGUGGAACGUCCCACAUUGCCCUCAGCCGACGUCGCCAUCGACGGUAAUGGCAACGGCGCUCGUGCUGGUGCGGGCAAAGCUGCCGGCGCCGGCGCCGUGGGAGGAGGGAUCGUGUCAAACUCGGUGCUGGUGGCGUUGCUGGACUCGCGCUACACGGAGAUGGCGGAGCUGGUGGAGAAGGCCCUGCUGCUCCAGGCGCUGGAGGACGCCGUCGCCGAGCACAACGUCACCAUCCUCGCGCCGCGGAACGAGGCGCUGGAGCGGGACAUCGACCCGGAGUUCAAGCGCUUCCUGCUCGAGCCGCGGAAUCUCAACUCGCUCCAGUCGCUGCUCCUCUUCCACGUCCUCCCCGCCCGCCUCCCCUCCGGUUCCUGGCCCGCCGCGGCCACCCACCCGACGCUCGCCGGCGAGGAUGUUGAGCUCGCCGCGGCCGACGGCGGCGGCGGCAUGCGCGUCGCCCACGCCGCCGUCUCGCGCCCGGACGCGGUGGUCAGGACGGAUGGCGUCAUCCACGGGAUCGACCGCCUCCUCGUGCCGCGCUCCGUCCAGGACGAAUUCAACCGCCGCCGCAGCCUCGCCGACAUCUCCGCCAUGCCGCCGACGGCCGCGCCCGAGGUGGAUCCGAGGACGGAUCGCCUCAAGAAGCCGGCGCCACCCGGCGAUUCUCCUGUGCUCCCGAUCUCCGACGCGACUGUUCCCGAUCCCUCCGUCGCGCUGGCGUCGGAGCCCAGUGACCACUACGACGGCGACAGCCAGGUGAAGGACUUCAUUCAGACCCUGCUCAAGUACGGCGGCUACAACGAGCUCGCCGACAUCUUCGUCAACCUCACCUCGCUCGCCACCGAGUUAGCCCAGCUCGUCUCCGAAGGGUACGCGCUCACCGUGCUCGCGCCCAACGACGAGGCCAUGGCGCGGCUCACCGCCGACCAGCUCAGCGAGCCCGGCUCGCCGGAGAACAUCCUGUACUACCACAUGAUCCCGGAGUACCAGACCGAGGAGAGCAUGUACAACGCGGUGCGGCGGUUCGGCAAGGUGCGCUACGACACGCUGCGGCUGCCGCACAAGGUGGUGGCGCGCGAGGCCGACGGCUCAGUCAAGUUUGGCCAUGGCGAGGGCUCGGCGUAUCUCUUCGACCCGGACAUCUUCGCCGACGGCAGGAUCUCAGUGCAGGGCAUUGACGCCGUGCUGUUCCCGCCGGCUGAGACGAAGACGAAGACGAAGCCGGCCACCGCCCGGAUCAGGACGGCGCCCGCUAUCACCGGCGUCAGCAAGAUUAAACACCGGAGAGGCAAAUUGCUAGAAGCAGCAUGCCAAAUGGUUGGCAUCCUUGGCCAGCGAUCGCAAUUCACACGCUGCCAGUAGACAGGAAAGAUUGAUCUCAUGAUACUGAAACACGGUCUAGAGGUACCUGUAGGAGCUGAUGAUGCUGAACUUGGCGAGCGCAUUAUACAGCAGUUGGCCGCUUGCGCAUUAUCUCUUCUACCAUGCUGAACUUCGCACCCUCAAUUUCCCAUCAUGGUAGAAGAGAUGGCCAUUGUAGGCUCACAGCUACCGAUCCAUCUCUACGUGGUGAAUUGGUGAUAGAGCAAUGAACAUGAACAGGACCUCUGAAAACCAAUCUACACCUGUAAUAAAGAUACAGUAGGACCAUCUGAUUUGUAGCUUUUCUCUGACGUGUUGAGAUCUUGUUAGCUAUCAGCUUCAACGAAGUAAUCUCCAACUCCUGAAAGCACCUUCACAUUGAAUAUAUGCAUUUUAUGGGCAUUCAUUAGAAUGCCAGGUCUAAAACAACGAGUACGCACAAGAUGGAAUGAAAGGUAUUUUCCCACAGUAGUUCUUAGCUUUGAAGUAAGGAGGGGAGGUCCGGGAUUGUUGCGUUAUCCUACAGUAGUUCUUGGCCGUGAAGACUGAAGACAGGAAUUGGGGCAAAAUGCUACACGGGUAGAUGAUGUAUGUAAUGGCGUCCAGUCAAUUCUUUUUAGAGGAGUGUUCGAUCCUGUAGAGGAUGAAACAAACAUUUUUCCUUUGGGUGUGUUUAGUUCACGCUAAAAUUGGAAGUUUGGUUGAAAUUGAAAUGAUGUGACGGAAAAGUUAGAAGUUUGUGUGUAGGAAAGUUUUGAUGUGAUGGAAAAGUUGAAAGUUUGAAAAAAAAAGUUUGGAACUAAACUCAGCCUUCAUAAGUUUCUCUAACCGCCGCCAAUUUCACUUUCGUCAGGUCCAGAGAGAAAAGCCGCUUGUUCGGAGCACCUGAGAUAUCCAGCGAUGCUUCAUGCCUUCAUCAUCUUUGUGUGCUUCAAAAGUCGUUGGAAGCUCUUGCGUUCAGAUCACGGGACGUUACGAAUUGUAAUCGUUAUCAUUCACAACAGAACGAAUGUCGAUUGUGAAAUUCUUGUUGGUAUCCCUAUAAAUCAAGGGUACGGUCAUUCAUCAGUUCGUCA